AAGGUGGUGCUGAGUGCUCCCCGAGGGGUCGGGUUGUCCCCGGGGAGCAGGGAUCGUGCCGCGCUGCCCUCCCGCUGCCGGCGGGGCUCGGGUGGACGUGCGGCCGCCAGGUGGCGCUGCAGCGGCGGGCGCGGAUCUGGCCUCAGCCCGGGUCCGAGCUGUGACCCUGAGGGGAGCGGGGAGAGGCGGAGCGGAGCGGAGCGGCACCGCUGGGACACAGGGAAGCCGAUUUCUGUGCCUGUGCCGGGCAGGGUGGAAGCCGGCCCGCCCGUGCGGAUAUUCACGUGGAUCCAAUCAUUGGAUGAAUUUCUGAAUCAGCAGAAGACAUCUUUCCAAACUAGAGGUCAUUAAAAUUAGGUAUUUGAAUCCAUUAUAUCUCAGUACAGUGCCAUAGCUUUAAUAGGUUUUAAGUACAAUGGGAGCUCUGCUUCAUGAUCUUGUCAUCAUCACUGGACACCAGAACGUUAACAUUUAGAUAUCUUAGUGCGUUUGAUAUUGUUAGUUUAUGUCAUUUUAGAGUGAGAAGAAAAAAAAUCCUAGACAAAGUUUUUUGGAGGAAAACACCUCAUUUAAAACUCAUAACUUUGAAACAAUUAUCCUCAUUUUUCCAGACUUGGCAUUUCUUCGAUCACAGCAAAAUAAAAAGCCCACGCCAAAGCAAACUAGGUGAUGUUUUGGUCCUCUGCUUCUGUAUUCAGGCAUAAAAUAUCCUACUGAAACAUCUGGAAAAGGUUAUGUUGUUAAUCCACACAUAAUAUAGAAAUGUUUGGAAUGAUACUCAAAUUGUGUGUAAAAAGAUUAGGCAAAACUAGAAAAGUUUCUGUCCAAAAUAAGUAUUUUGUGAAGUUACGAAUAUAUCAGCACAGACUUGGAAAAAUGUGUUAGAAUUAUAGAUUAAAUUCUACAUUGAUUAUACUGGAUAAUAGCUGUUUCAGUGAUGAUAAAUACUUGCUGAUUAUAAAACCAGUUUUUAACCUGAUUGUUAUCCACUCUUUCCUUCCUCUCUUCCUUAUGACUCCUUAGUGCAGAUCACAGCUUUCUGUGUUUUGGAGCAAGUGUAAGCUACUUCCAUAUGUCGGAGGAAGAGUUACAUAAAGAAACUGCUCCUUUUAUUUACAAAUAUAAGUUUAUCCUAAUAAAUAAAGUGCCUACAUUUCUCCCCAGGCUAAAUCUAGUGUAAAAAUUCUAAUACAAACUGGAGCAUAAACCAGAAAUCUCAUGAGUUUGAAUGGGAUAUAAAGAUAUGUUAAGGACAGUGUAAAUAAACAGAUUAAAACAAAUAAAUGGGAGAAAACAAAACUGAAACUAUGAUGUGCUACGUGAUGUGGAUAAAUACAUACUUUGAAUUAUUUAUUUUAUGAAGAAUGAAGUGAUGUGGGGACUGUGGUACCUGCAAGAACAGUCAAAUCAAAGAUAGAAAUAUUAGUAUUUUGUCUAUGCUACUGUUUAAAGCAUCACAUAUAGACCUCUAGAGGCAGUAAAUUUCUUUGGCUUUUUCUAAGGAUGGGUGAAGGACACUGGAUUCCCCAGACUCAGGAUGUUAAUACCAUGGAUACUGACAGUCUCCCAAAGGACUCCUUCAGUUAUAUUAGUAUUAGGGAUGGGAAAUGUUUUUCAUGAGUAGCACUUCAGAAAAAUGCUAUGCCCUUAUAAUUCUGACAUACAUUUUCAUCAAAUUGUGUUGACAGUUAUGGUAAAAAAUAAACCCACAAUUAUUUUU